rnacentral:misc_RNA from 1 species
CUAAUAAGGAGUAUGCCUGAUCAUAUGAAUGAGACAAGAAAUUAUGGAAAACAACGCUAAGUACGUAGUGAUACCUCUUCACCAUCGGCCUGAUUUGAUUACUGAUUGUUGUAAGUUACUUAAUUCUGAGUGGCCUCGAAGCGAAACUGCACGAAUGAAAUCUCUGAAUGUGUCUUGCGAUAAUUUUCCUACGUGUCUAAUUCUGAUUAAUGAUAAGAACAAGGUACUUGGACAUUGUAAAAUAUCUUUAGUGGCUAAAUCGAAAGUUAGUUGUUUCAUAGAAUCUGUUGUAAUCGACUAUCGCUGUAGAUCUCAAGGAUUAGGAUCUAGAUUGCUACAUGGCGUAGAAGAAUACGUAACGAAAAGAGGCCUGAAGAAUAUCUAUUUAAAGACAAAUGGCCAGGAGAUAUUUUAUUAUAAAAAUGGAUACAAAGUAUGCGAUCCAUUUAAAGCAUAUGGUAUUAAUGAUAUCAUAACCGUCAAUCCGCCCCUUGGCAGAAUAAAAUUCCAAGAACAAAAUAGCGAUAAUUCUGCCGAACAACCACCUCUACCGCCGCCGCCGCCGCCACCUCCGAUGCCAGUAUUUCAACUAUCGAGAUUUUUCGAUGUACGAAUGUUAUCUCAGAAAACGCAUAUGGAAAUAGGUAUCUGUUACUGAUUGUUGAUUGUUUCACUAAAUGGGUUGAAGCUUUUCCUGUGAAAAACAUAAGGGCCAUUACUGUAGCAGAUGUAUUUGUGAAACAAUUUAUUUCUAGGCAUGGAGUACCUCUGGAGCUUCAUACUGAUCAGAAACAUCAUUUUUCAUUGCGUUCCCCAGAAUAGUUGUCCUGCUCGUCAGAAUUUGUCCGUCAACAACGAAUUAAGAAGGCUACCUCCUCCACGUCGACGAAACAUUUUUGAUCGUGGUUUUUUCGUGGGGCAUUGGGCAAAUACCGAGGCAGGGACUUGGGGUGUCCUUCAAAAGAACGUUGGGUCUACAGGAGUUCCCCCCCUCCUGUCCAAAGAGGAACCAAGGAAGAAAUAGACGAGAAAGCGAAACAAGUGGAUCGUUUUAGAAAGGUCCUGGAGACUGAUCACCUCUUAGAGGACAGGGAUAGAGAUGGUGUUCUGAAGGCGAAGAGUCAAGAUUCUCGAAACCCUUGAUUGAGAUCAAGUAUUCAUGGAGUCCGGUAACCUAUAGCAGCAGCUCAAGGUAGGGCAGAAGCCGUGAAGAUCUCUGGAGUCAAGGAAGAGGAUGACUUUGCCUCAGUGGAUUGUCGGGACGACAAUUUUAAAGAAAAAGGGGGGUAAUGUUAUAUCCGAGCCGCAGUAUGAACUGCGACGUCAGCUGUUCACGGUCCUUAUCCUUGGCGGUAUCGAUUGAAGAACUGACAACCGAUCAGCUGAGCGACGAACUGACAGGCGGUCAACGGGGCAACGAAGAAAAAUAAGAAAAGGAGGGUUUGGUUUCUAUGACAAGUCGCUGACGCAGGCUAUCCAGCAAUUUUCGGUUGCGGCUCUUAAUCGGGAUUUACGCAAAAGAUCGAGAGUGUAUUUCUGUGCAAUUCACUGUAUAUAAAGGCUUUGCUUCUCCUUUUAA